UUAAGUUCAGCGGGUAGUCCUACCUGAUUUGAGAUCACAUAAAUGAAGAAUUGUCCAAGGACUGUUAGAAAGCUGAACUGCCCUCACAUUCAAUAGCGUAGAUAGUUAUCACACCAAUGAACAAGGUUGUUCUGCUAAUGCAUUUCAGGAGAGCUGAACCUUUUACAAGGCCAGCAAAGCCCCCACAUCCAAACCACUAC
rnacentral:misc_RNA from 1 species